ACUCAAAGGAAUUGACGGGGGCCCGCACAAGCGGAGGAACAUGUGGUUUAAUUCGAUGAUACGCGAGGAACCUUACCCGGGUUUAAAUGUGAAAAGUCAGAUAUGGAAACAUAUUUUCUCUUCGGAGCUUUUUUCAAGGUGCUGCAUGGUUGUCGUCAGCUCGUGCCGUGAGGUGUCGGGUUAAGUCCCAUAACGAGCGCAACCCUUACCGUUAGUUGCCAUCAUUAAGUUGGGCACUCUAUCGGGACUGCCACCGUAAGGUGAGAGGAAGGCGGGGAUGACGUCAAAUCAGCACGGCCCUUACACCCGGGGCUACACACGUGUUACAAUGGCCGGUACAGAGGGUCGCUACCUGGUGACAGGAUGCCAAUCUCAAAAUCCGGUCUUAGUUCGGAUUGGAGUCUGUAACCCGACUCCAUGAAGUUGGAUUCGCUAGUAAUCGCGCAUCAGCCAUGGCGCGGUGAAUACGUUCCCGGGCCUUGUACACACCGCCCGUCAAGCCAUGGAAGCCGGGGGUGCCUGAAGUCCGUAACCGCGAGGAUCGGCCUAGGGCAAAACUGGUAACUGGGGCUAAGUCGUAACAAGGUAACCGU
rnacentral:rRNA from 1 species